UUGAAAGGGAAACGAUUGAAGUCAGUCGUACCGACGGAGAAUCAACCUUUGGAGUGCGAGUCGAGGUAUUCGAGGAGUUUAAAAGCCCUUGUGUGCUUCCGUAUCGUGCUUCUUGGGUGCUUUUCUUCGUAUGGUAGGUUAACAUCAAUUUUGGACGUUACAAAAUGACUGGGGGAAUGUAGCUUCGAUUUUUCGAAGUGUUAUAGCCCUUUGUAGAUGUGACGACCGGGAUUGUGGAUUGCAACGAAUGCUUUCGGGCUAUCCGUCUGACCUCUGGUGGUUGCUUUGGGGUCGAAAGCGUGCUUACGGCUUUAAAGUUGGCUAUCAAAAGGCUAGAACGUGAUUAAAUUCGUUAAGGAUGUUGACGUA
rnacentral:rRNA from 1 species